AUGAACAACUAGCAACGUCCAUCUCACGUAGAUAUCUUUUGCGAGAUAUAAGCUAAAUGACAAACUGAAGCUGUAAAAUUACUUUAUCAAUGUUAUUUAACAGUAUCCAAAGUCUAAUCAGUGCCUGCACAAAUAUUCAAUUUGGUACUGUUUCUUUAAAUUAAUAGGAGUCAAAUUGGAUGGCACUAAACCCAGGAUGUAGCAACCAUGCCAAUGCAAAAUGUGGUGGGGAACUUGUUUUGCAAGUGAGGAGGAAGGUCCUGGCAUAAAUAUUACUAAUUCCCUGAAAAAUAAGGUAAGAGCUGCUAGUUUGUUUUUACUGUUAGCUAUGAGGCUGGGGUUGGGGUUAAUUAUUAUUUUCAGCCUACAGGAUGCUAUGUAGGGGACACUUGUUGUUGUUCCCCAGGGUGAUAGGGAUGUAACACUGUAAUACACUGUAGACUACAGCAGCAGCAGUCAUAGCCUAUAGCAUCAGUCAUAUUUGUAUUGGUCACAAUGUCAUCAAUAGCUUCGUGCUAGCAGUAGCGGCAACACCAAAACAAGAAAACUGUUAACUAUACACUGUGCUCUCUGAAUCUCAGUUCGACCCAUUUAUGGUAAUCCCUAAAAACUUGGUAUUUCACUGGUUCUGCAUCACACAGAGUUUUGCUGGACAAGAUAGCAAAAUCAGAACCAGCAGGUCUAUAUUCUUAUAUUAAUGCUGUAUUUUGCAUCAUGCCCAUCCCAAGCUUACAAGGCAGACAGCAUGUACAUAGAUCUGACUUGUGAUAACAAAUUCAAACAAAAAAAGGAAGCUAUGAUUAGUACAGGCCCUAUUAUAUAUGCCUUAGCAUUGCACCAAAUCUGACCUAAUUGUCAGAGCUGAAGAAAUAAACAUCCUACCGCUUGUAUUCUCACUUUUAUUCCCGAACUAGAAGGAACAAAAACAAACCCUCCCCCCCAAACGUAUGCAUGCUAUUUCAAACAUAGUUGUUAUGACUGACAGGCUGGAAAGCUUCUAUGCUUCACUGACAUCUUGGAAAUCCCAGUUACUGCAAUGAACAGACUGUUUUACCUUGGCUGAACUUCUCUAUCUUAUCACGCUCAUAACAGAAGACUUAAUCACAAAUGUGUCUCCCAGCCUGUUAUGAUAUGUUUAAGGAGAUAUAAACAUACCAUAAACAAGGGUGUAUCAUUAAACAAUAAAAGUUGACCCAAAGUCUUUCUUGAGUAAAAGUAAAGAUAUCGUGUGCUGUAUAUGUGAGGUGCACUGAGAUGGGCGGAGCUUUCCAUUCACCGGAGCUGCUGACACACACGCACCUGCAGCAGGUUGGCAAUCAGCGCCUGCUGAUAAGCUCUGGCCUUCACAGCGCUUUCUGUCAGAUGAUUUCAUCAGUCAGACAUGGUAUAUGGCUCUGGCGUUAUUGCCUUCUAGUGUAACUACUUUUGUUUUCUUUCUGUCGUUGGGGGAUCUAACAUGUCUUUAUCUCCAGUGAUCACCAGCAUGUCCAACUACCACUGGCUCCACUUCCAGCAACCUAGCUCUCUGCAGCCUUGCCGUGUGCCCACCUGAGUCCCAGCGACUCACCACGCUAAACACCAGCGCCAACAUGAGCAACCUCUUCUCAGAUAAAUCACCUUGCACACUACUCUCUGCCUCAUUGUGUGCUUUUGUUCAACUACCUACAACGAAGUGUAACAAUUUCAGAUGUACCUAUUGGGAUGAGGUGAACACAGAAGAUCAUAACGCCGCCAAGGAAGAGUGUGGAUGACUGGCAGAAGCGCCUGGAGCAGUACUGCAGCAGUAUUAAAGCCAUAAUGUAAGCUGGCACUUCUGCCACAGCAGACAGGAAGCAGUUUAGUGAGUGCAUCUUCAAUCUGUGAAAAACACGAUAAAAACAGUUGUAAGAGUUCAAUAAAACAUGAGCCCUGCCAAAGACAAGGGAACAUGGAAGCAUGACAACAGUCGGGAAUCAUAUUGUUGUCUGAAUGAUGCAGAGCGGCACGCUGUCAACACACAGCAGGACAAAUCUGCAGCCAUAGACUGAUGGUGUUGAUUUGUAUUGAAUUUGUACAAGCAAGAUAGAUGUAAUAAAUAACAUAACACAUUUUGAUCACCUGAGCAAGAAGCUUAUACAGCAGAAAGUAUGAGCUUAAGUAUAAAACAAAUAUAUUUUCAUAUACGCAUAUUCAACCCAUUAACACUCCAGGAUUUUUUCAUUAAUUAUGUCAAUAAAAUGUAUUUAAUCUAAUUGCAAUACAUUAUUGAAUAAUUCAAUUAUUCAAUAAUAUAUUUGUUAUAUAUUCAGAAAUACACCAAUUAUUGCAGUUUUUCAAAUAGUGUAGUAAAUAAUUAAGUUUAUAUUACCAUUGCAUUAUCAAAUGUGCAUUCAUUAUAUUUUGUACUGAAUUAUUGAUGCAGAAUUAGAAUAUAUUGCCAUGCAUUCAUCCAAUGAACUGUAUGUAGACUCCUUCCAUGUAUUAAAAUGUUUGGUCUUAGUCUGACUGCUGCUUGCGCUAAUUGUUGUGCUGACUCAAAGAUCGGGCAACAGUGAGUCAAUGCAACACAAACACUGCUACAAAGGACAAAUGGUUUUAAAGCUAUAUCAAUUUGAUAAACAUUUUGGAACAUCAUGUCGGCAUGUUAUGUUGUGUUACGUUAGAGUACGUUAUGUCCUGUCAUGUUGUUAUGUUAUGUUGUCUUGUGUUAUGUUGUGUUGUGUUACGUUCCAUUACAUUGUGUCAAGUUGCGUUGUAUUGUGUCAAGUUCUUUUGUGUUUUGUUAUGUAUUGUUAUGUUUCAUUAUGUCAUGUUAUUUUAUGCUGUGCUGUGUUUCAUAUCAUAGAUAAAAAAUGAGCUGAUUUA